rnacentral:rRNA from 1 species
AGAGUUUGAUCCUGGCUCAGGAUGAACGCUAGCGAUAGGCUUAACACAUGCAAGUCGAGGGGCAGCAUGAUCUUAGCUUGCUAAGGUUGAUGGCGACCGGCGCACGGGUGCGUAACGCGUAUGCAACUUGCCUUACAGAGGGGGAUAACCCGUUGAAAGACGGACUAAAACCGCAUACACUUGUAUUAUUGCAUGAUAUUACAAGGAAAUAUUUAUAGCUGUAAGAUAGGCAUGCGUCCCAUUAGCUGGUUGGUGAGGUAACGGCUCACCAAGGCGACGAUGGGUAGGGGAACUGAGAGGUUUAUCCCCCACACUGGUACUGAGACACGGACCAGACUCCUACGGGAGGCAGCAGUGAGGAAUAUUGGUCAAUGGGCGAGAGCCUGAACCAGCCAAGUCGCGUGAAGGAAGACAGUCCUAAGGAUUGUAAACUUCUUUUAUACGGGAAUAACGGGCGAUACGAGUAUUGCAUUGAAUGUACCGUAAGAAUAAGCAUCGGCUAACUCCGUGCCAGCAGCCGCGGUAAUACGGAGGAUGCGAGCGUUAUCCGGAUUUAUUGGGUUUAAAGGGUGCGUAGGUUGUUCGGUAAGUCAGCGGUGAAACCUGAGCGCUCAACGUUCAGCCUGCCGUUGAAACUGCCGGGCUUGAGUUCAGUGGCGGCAGGCGGAAUUCGUGGUGUAGCGGUGAAAUGCAUAGAUAUCACGAGGAACUCCGAUUGCGAAGGCAGCUUGCCAUACUGCGACUGACACUGAAGCACGAAGGCGUGGGUAUCAAACAGGAUUAGAUACCCUGGUAGUCCACGCAGUAAACGAUGAUUACUAGGAGUUUGCGAUAUACCGUCAAGCUUCCACAGCGAAAGCGUUAAGUAAUCCACCUGGGGAGUACGCCGGCAACGGUGAAACUCAAAGGAAUUGACGGGGGCCCG